AACAUAUUAAAGAAUGUGCAGUAAAGUGUGUAUUCAAUGGUUUUACCCAAGGCAAUUUUAAUUUCCUGCUAUAUAAAUGUUUUUUUCAGGUGCUUUGUCACCCCACAGGAAGUAUGAUCUCCCAUGGCAAAAGGAGCACCCACUGUGCCAUCAUCCAAGACAACUAAGUAUGUUGUCUGCCUGGAGAAAAGGAAAGAAAGCUUAAGAAAUGUUGUUUUCAAGACAGAGGAAUAUUAAUGGUUACCUGUGAGGCAAAACCCCUGGGACUGCUUUCUAGAUUGCUCCCUCUUGUGAACAGGAGACUGCUGUCAGGAGAGGUCUUCA